UACGUAGGGGGCAAGUGUUGUCCGGAUUUAUUGGGCGUAAAGCGUGCGUAGGCGGUCCCGCAAGUCCGCUGUGAAAGCCCCGGGCUUAACCUGGGAAUUGCAGUGGAAACUAUGGGACUUGAAUCCGGCAGAGGGGGGUGGAAUGCCACGUGUAGCAGUGAAAUGCGUAGAGAUGUGGCGGAACACCGAUGGCGAAGGCAGCCCCCUGGGCCGAGAUUGACGCUCAGGCACGAAAGCGUGGGGAGCAAACAGG
rnacentral:rRNA from 1 species